rnacentral:tRNA from 1 species
UCGCGGCCAAGCCCGACGCCAUCCUGAUCGCCGG